rnacentral:rRNA from 1 species
GACGAACGCUGGCGGCGUGCCUAAUACAUGCAAGUUGAGCGCUGAAGGUUGGUACUUGUGCCAACUGGAUGAGCAGCGAACGGGUGAGUAACGCGUGGGGAAUCUGCCUUUGAGCGGGGGACAACAUUUGGAAACGAAUGCUAAUACCGCAUAAAAACUUUAAACACAAGUUUUAAGUUUGAAAGAUGCAAUUGCAUCACUCAAAGAUGAUCCCGCGUUGUAUUAGCUAGUUGGUGAGGUAAAGGCUCACCAAGGCGAUGAUACAUAGCCGACCUGAGAGGGUGAUCGGCCACAUUGGGACUGAGACACGGCCCAAACUCCUACGGGAGGCAGCAGUAGGGAAUCUUCGGCAAUGGACGAAAGUCUGACCGAGCAACGCCGCGUGAGUGAAGAAGGGUUUCGGAUCGUAAAACUCUGUUGGUAGAGAAGAACGUUGGUGAGAGUGGAAAGCUCAUCAAGUGACGGUAACUACCCAGAAAGGGACGGCUAACUACGUG